GACGUAGGAGGCGAGCGUUGUCCGGAUUUAUUGGGCGUAAAGCGCUCGCAGGUGGUUCGUCGCGUCGUGCGUGAAAGACCCCGGCUCAACUGGGGAGGGUCACGCGAUACUGAUCGACUCGAAGGCAGGAGAGGGUAGUGGAAUUCCCGGUGUAGUGGUGAAAUGCGUAGAUAUCGGGAGGAACACCAGUGGCGAAGGCGACUACCUGGCCUGUUCUUGACGCUGAGGCGCGAAAGCUAGGGGAGCAAACGGGG
rnacentral:rRNA from 1 species